GAUAUUGGGCGUAAGAGCUCGUAGGCGGUUUGUCGCGUCUGCUGUGAAAGCCCGGGGCUCAACCCCGGGUCUGCAGUGGGUACGGGCAGACUAGAGUGUGAAGGGGAGACUGGAAUUCCUGGUGUAGCGGUGAAAUGCGCAGAUAUCAGGAGGAACACCGAUGGCGAAGGCAGGUUUUUGGGCUGUUACUGACGCUGAGGAGCGAAAGCAUGGGGAGCGAACAGGAUUAGAUACCCUGGUAGUCCAUGCCGUAAACGUUGGGCACUAGGUGUGGGGGACAUUCCACGUUUUCCGCGCCGUAGCUAACGCAUUAAGUGCCCCGCCUGGGGAGUACGGCCGCAAGGCUAAAACUCAAAGGAAUUGACGGGGGCCCGCACAAGCGGCGGAGCAUGCGGAUUAAUUCGAUGCAACGCGAAGAACCUUACCAAGGCUUGACAUUCACCGGACCGCCCCAGAGAUGGGGUUUCCCUUCGGGGCUGGUGGACAGGUGGUGCAUGGUUGUCGUCAGCUCGUGUCGUGAGAUGUUGGGUUAAGUCCCGCAACGAGCGCAACCCUCGUUCUAUGUUGCCAGCACGUGAUGGUGGGGACUCAUAGGAGACUGCCGGGGUCAACUCGGAGGAAGGUGGGGAUGACGUCAAAUCAUCAUGCC
rnacentral:rRNA from 1 species